rnacentral:tRNA from 1 species
GAGAUGGCCGAGCGGUCUAAGGCGCUGGUUUAAGGCACCAGUCUCUUCGGAGGCGUGGGUUCGAAUCCCACUCUCGUCA